UGCGUAGGCGGAAUGAUAAGUCAGUGGUGAAAUCCCCCGGCUCAACCGGGGAACUGCCAUUGAUACUGUCAAUCUUGAGUACAGUUGAGGUGGGUGGAACGUAUCAUGUAGCGGUGAAAUGCAUAGAUAUGAUACAGAACACCGAUAGCGAAGGCAACUCACCAAACUGUAACUGACGCUGAGGCACGAAAGCGUGGGGAGCAAACAGGAUUAGAUACCCUGGUAGUCC
rnacentral:rRNA from 1 species